GCAGGAGUAGCAAAGACUGGUCAAAUGCGCAGGACUUAAGAUCCUGUCACUUAGUGUGUUCGAAGGUUCAAAUCCUUCCUCCUGCA
rnacentral:tRNA from 1 species